CACGUAGGGGGCGAGCGUUGUCCGGAUUUAUUGGGCGUAAAGAGCUCGUAGGCGGCUCAGUAAGUCAGGUGUGAAAACUCCAGGCUCAACCUGGAGACGCCACCUGAUACUGCUGUGGCUAGAGUCCGGUAGGGGAGCAUGGAAUUCCUGGUGUAGCGGUGAAAUGCGCAGAUAUCAGGAGGAACACCAGUGGCGAAGGCGGUGCUCUGGGCCGGAACUGACGCUGAGACGCGAAAGCGUGGGGAGCGAACAGG
rnacentral:rRNA from 1 species